rnacentral:rRNA from 1 species
CACCGCGGUUAUACGAGAGGCCCAAGCUGAUAGAUAUCGGCGUAAAGCGUGGUUAAGAUUUUAAUUUAAACUAAAGCCGAACACCUUCAAAGCUGUUAUACGCACCCGAAGGCAAGAAGUUCAACCACGAAAGUGGCUUUAUAACCCCUGAACCCACGAAAGCUAUGACA